UACGGAGGGUGCAAGCGUUAUCCGGAUUCACUGGGCUUAAAGGGUGCGUAGGAGGGCAGGUAAGUCAGUGGUGAAAUCCCCAAGCUUAACUUGGGAACUGCCGUUGAUACUAUCUGUCUUGAAUACCGUGGAGGUGAGCGGAAUAUGUCAUGUAGCGGUGAAAUGCUUAGAUAUAUGGAAGAACAUCAAUAACGGCGAAGGCAGUUAACUAUUCUGUUACUGACGUUGAGGCACGAAAGCGUGGGGAGCAAAAAGG
rnacentral:rRNA from 1 species